AGAGUUUGAUCCUGGCUCAGAUUGAACGCUGGCGGCAUGCCUAACACAUGCAAGUUGAACGCGAAGCGCCUUCGGGUGUGAGUAGUGGCGGACGGGUGAGUAACGCGUGGGAAUCUGCCCUGCAGUGGGGGACAACCCGAGGAAACUCGGGUUAAUAUUGUAUAUGUCUUAUGAGAGAAAGGGGGCUUUGGCUCUCGCUGCAGGAUGAGCCCGCGUCCGAUUAGCUUGUUGGUGGGGUAAUGGCCCACCAAGGCUGCGAUUGGUAGCUGGUCUGAGAGGAUGAUCAGCCAUAUUGGGAUUGAGAUAUGGUCCAGACUCCUACGGGAGGCAGCAGUGGGGAAUAUUGGACAAUGGGCGAAAGCCUGAUCCAGCAAUGUUGCGUGUGUGAAGAAGGCCUGCGGGUUGUAAAGCACUUUCAGUGGGGAAGAAAAGUGCGAGGUUAAUAUCCUUGUGUGUUGAUGUUACCCACAGAAGAAGCACCGGCUAACUCCGUGCCAGUAGUUGUGGUAAUACGGAGGGUGCAAGCGUUAAUCGGAAUCACUGGGCGUAAAGCGCACGUAGGCGGCUAGGUCAGUCAGAUGUGAAAGUCUUGGGUUUAAUUUGGGAAUUGCAUUUGAUACUGCCUGGCUUGAGUAUGGUAGAGGGAGGUGGAAUUCCAGGUGUAGUGGUGAAAUGUGUAGAUAUCUGGAGGAAUACCAGUGGUGAAGGUGGCCUCCUGGACUAAUACUGACGCUGAGGUGCGAAAGCGUGGGGAGCAAACAGGAUUAGAUAUUCUGGUAGUUUACGUUGUAAACGAUGUCGACUAGCCGUUGGAUCCAUUUAAGGGUUUAGUGGCGCAGUUAAUGCGAUAAGUCGACCGCCUGGGGAGUACGGCCGUAAGGUUAAAACUCAAAGGAAUUGAUGGGGGCCCGCACAAGCGGUGGAGCAUGUGGUUUAAUUCGAUGCAAUGCGAAGAACCUUACCAGCCCUUGACAUCCUCGGAACUUAGCAGAGAUGCUUUGGUGCCUUCGGGAGCCGAGUGACAGGUGCUGCAUGGCUGUCGUCAGCUCGUGUCGUGAGAUGUUGGGUUAAGUCCCCUAACGAGCGCAACCCUUGUCCUUAGUUGCCAGCACAUAAUGGUGGGAACUUUAAGGAGACUGUCGGUGAUAAACCGGAGGAAGGUGGGAUGACGUCAAGUCAUCAUGGCCCUUAUGGGCUGGCUACACACGUGCUACAAUGGUCGGUAUAGAGGGUUGCGAAGCAGUGAUGUGGAGUCAAUCCCAGAAAACCGAUCGUAGUCCGGAUUGCAGUUUGUAAUUUGACUGCAUGAAGUCGGAAUCGUUAGUAAUUGCGAAUUAGAAUGUUGUGGUGAAUACGUC
rnacentral:rRNA from 1 species